AUUGGCGUGCAAAUAUUGUCAGAUUAAAUAUUUACUAUGACGCACUCGGAUAUUUAUUUACCGAUAAAACCACUACGCGUUAACGGGCAACCCACCUGUUGUUGUCCCGACGAAAGUUUAUAAUAUAAUAGGGUUGUGGUGUUUUUAUAUUUUUUUUUUUUUUACACCGAAUUUGUUUUUUACGCUCCCAGUACGAUAAAACGUAUUUUUUAUAGUUAGUGUACCGAAUAGAAAAUAUUAUUCGUAACAAUGUAUAGAUACUCAUUCUAGAUUCUGAGUGUAGUGAAGGAUGUAUUGAUUUCACAAAGAUGUUUAUUUUUUUUUCCUCGUAUAAAAUUUCUACCAGAAAUCUUGCUCCGAUAUAAACGCACGGUACCAUUUCUGAAAGAAAAUAUUGUUCAAAUGAUACUAUUAAAAAGUCAUUGACUUUCCAAGUGGUUUUUGUAAUAUCUGGAAA